GCUUCCUUAUAGUUGUUACCUAAUACCUGUAUCACACACAUGAGAAAGAAGGUUUUCCCUGCAUUUCUUUAUAGGUCAAUGAUUAGUCAUGUUGUGUUUCUUGCAUGGUACGUGAAAAAAUGAUUUCGAACUGACCACUUGACGUUUGGCUGAGUUAAGGGAGCAAAGAGAACAAGGCCCCUCCACCACCGUGUUAUUGUGAUCAGG
rnacentral:lncRNA from 1 species